ACGGGAGGCAGCAGUGGGGAAUAUUGCACAAUGGGGGAAACCCUGAUGCAGCGACGCCGCGUGAGUGAAGAAGUAUCUCGGUAUGUAAAGCUCUAUCAGCAGGGAAGAAAAUGACGGUACCUGACUAAGAAGCCCCGGCUAACUACGUGCCAGCAGCCGCGGUAAUACGUAGGGGGCAAGCGUUAUCCGGAUUUACUGGGUGUAAAGGGAGCGUAGACGGUUCUGCAAGUCUGAUGUGAAAGGCAGGGGCUCAACUCCUGGACUGCAUUGGAAACUGUAGAACUAGAGUGUCGGAGAGGUAAGCGGAAUUCCUAGUGUAGCGGUGAAAUGCGUAGAUAUUAGGAGGAACACCAGUGGCGAAGGCGGCUUACUGGACGGUAACUGACGUUGAGGCUCGAAAGCGUGGGGAGCAAACAGGAUUAGAUACCCUGGUA
rnacentral:rRNA from 1 species